AUUGAACGCUGGCGGCAUGCCUUACACAUGCAAGUCGAACGGCAGCAUGAUCUAGCUUGCUAGAUUGAUGGCGAGUGGCGAACGGGUGAGUAAUACAUCGGAACGUGCCCUGUAGUGGGGGAUAACUAGUCGAAAGAUUAGCUAAUACCGCAUACGACCUGAGGGUGAAAGUGGGGGACCGCAAGGCCUCAUGCUAUAGGGGCGGCCGAUGUCUGAUUAGCUAGUUGGUGAGGUAAAGUCUCACCAAGGCGACGAUCAGUAGCUGGUCUGAGAGGACGAUCAGCCACCCUGGGACUGAGACACGGCCCAGACUCCUACGGGAGGCCGCAGUGGGGAAUUUUGGACAAUGGGCGAAAGCCUGAUCCAGCAAUGCCGCGUGUGUGAAGAAGGCCUUCGGGUUGUAAAGCACUUUUGUCCGGAAAGAAAUGGCUCUGGUUAAUACCUGGGGUGGAUGACGGUACCGGAAGAAUAAGGACCGGCUAACUACGUG
rnacentral:rRNA from 1 species